GCCGCUGUGGUGAAAUGGUAAACACAUAACUUUCAAAAAGUUACGGUAUAUCCAUAUCGGUUCAAGUCCGAUCAGCGGCA
rnacentral:tRNA from 1 species